rnacentral:rRNA from 1 species
ACAGCAGCAGCCACGGUAAUACGUAGGUGGCAAGCGUUGUCCGGAAUUAUUGGGCGUAAAGGGCUCGCAGGCGGUUUCUUAAGUCUGAUGUGAAAGCCCCCGGCUCAACCGGGGAGGGUCAUUGGAAACUGGGAAACUUGAGUGCAGAAGAGGAGAGUGGAAUUCCACGUGUAGCGGUGAAAUGCGUAGAGAUGUGGAGGAACACCAGUGGCGAAGGCGACUCUCUGGUCUGUAACUGACGCUGAGGAGCGAAAGCGUGGGGAGCGAACAGGAUUAGAUACCCGCGUAGUCCCUGUCUCUUAUAC